rnacentral:sRNA from 1 species
GGGGCUGUUUAGGUUUCGAUAUUCAUAAAAAUGACAAGUGUGAUGCAAGUAGAGGACCACUAACCUCUUAAAAAAAUGAAAAAAAAAAGAAAUGCAAACAAAAUUCUAUCUUUUAACCGAGUAAGAUUAGCUGUAUAAGCGAAAUAAACUCCUUAUCUACUUA